AUGACAUUGAUCAUGAUAAAUAUUGUGGUCACUUGCCUGGCCUUGCCUUGGACUCAUGUCUGGGCUCAUAAUGACAAGGUAUGCAUAUGGAGAGAAAACCAGUUAGCAGUCAUGAUGGGAAAAUAAAAACAAGCCUUUAUUUAGAGCUAUACACAUACUUGUAUAUAGGCAUUACCUCCAGUUAAAUCCCUGAAUGAUUCAUUGCCCUGCUGAUAAACCACAGGUGGAAACCAGAAGUACGCAUGAGAAGGCAAAGCAAGCAGGACUGACUUUGGAAAAUGGCAAAACCCUUUUAAUCAUUUCUUUGGACUUGUGUUGAGGGAGAUGCAGGGUCCUGAGCAGCAGCUUCAGCUUCACGGCAGAUGAGAGGUUGUGGAAGCAGAGGAGGAUAUUGUUGAUGACCGUGGCCAUGAACAACGACGUGAUGCUUAGCAGCUCCCACAGUUCGUCUGUUGCUCCCAACUUGUUGUGCAGCCACAGGCCGGUGUCACUCUCCCGCAUAGAUACCAUCUUGGGGGAGAAAAGAGGGGGGAAGCACUCAGCCCGCAUCUUAUGGAGACACCUACAUGCCCAGAGUGAGGACCCCUCAACAUGGUGGUGCCCGCCCAAAGGCAGGUGGGCUGACCGAGGAUGAGGCCAGAGUUGAUCCCCUCCUCUGUUAAAAAUAUCUGACAAAACAGAACUUAAUACAAUUCUAGUUUGUUGUGCAACCAGUCUCAAACCUUAAUAGCACUAAAAUGAACAUCACUAGACCAGAGGAUUUACAUUUUUAGAUUGGCAAAUUCAAAUAACUGAAAAAUGAAAAAAUUUUGUACCCAAAUUUUAUAUUUGGCAUAUAUAAUUACCUAAUUUUAUUACAAGUUGUUAAAAUCAACUGAAAAAAUUUCACUCUAGAUAUUUUCUUUUAGCUGCUCAUCCUUCCCCUUAUUUCCUCUCUUAGGAGGAUGAGCUUCUCCUAGGAACUGUUAACAGCAUACUUUUCUAUAAGAUGAUGACCUCUGAUAAGUAAUUAAAUUCAUUUAAAAGUUGCUAAAAUCAUUUCAUUUAUAACAAAACGUUCUUGGAUGGGAUAUUUAAAUACAUUGAGUAGUCAGUUUCAUGACAGUGCAGAUUGAAUCAGUUAUUUAGAAUAAAACACAUUUGCCUUUCAAGCCAUGCUCAAUAUCUAGAUGGUAAUAAUAAAUGCAAAUAAAAUAGGCUUUUCUCAUUUAGGUAACACUAGAUAUUCUUACAUUCUUUUCCUCAAACCAAAACUGAAGAUGUUUUAGGCUUAACACUUAAUAGAACAACAGUUUGGUCCCAUAAACUUUUCCAUCAGUACUCAAUUGUCCUCACAUUAAUUUUAGGAAGAGCUAAAAUUUUAGGCAAAAUAGUCAAAUCUUAUACCUGUAUAGUAUUAUAAUAGCUCAGAUGUCCUCCAGUAUUAGCUGAAGAAAUCAGGGAUUUAAUAUUGUAUUUAUACUGAUAACCUGCCAUGAUUAUAGAAAUUUGCCAUAGAAAGAAAGUAGGGAUAUUGUACAGUAGGGGAAAAAUGCUUCCCUAAUUUCAUGUCAGUUCUAGUCUGGAGUCAUACACAAAGUCAGCUGUAGUGAAUCAGGCUUAAAAAGCGAGGUAUUUUCCAUUGAAGAGGAAAUGUCAUUCUGAACAAAUUGAGUCAAGAUAAUCCCAUGCCAAGAGAAAUUUUCCCAGCCUAACCUAUCAGACCUUCACCUUCACUUUCACCAUGAACUAUAUAGUUCAUGGAUGUCAAUCCCAUACAGUUACUGGCAUCAUGGAUCAUUGGCCUUGAUGAUACCUGGAAUCAGAGUCGGAAUAAUAUCAAUUACAAUCCCAUUAGGUGUAACAGCAAGUUCCAAUGAUCAGAGCUUCAUACCUUUAGGUGGAUUCAGUUAUUAAGGAUCACAUAUCCUUGAAAAAAGUUCAAGGUCUAUCAUUUUAUAUUUCUAAAGCAAGUCAUGUUCUUAGGUUAGCUCUGAAGGGGCUUCUUCCUUCUAGAGCUACUUCUCAGGGUCUAACAGCAUGUAGGAAGACUUAAUACAAACUAGUUUAAAACAGGCCUAUAGGAAGAAUGCUUAUAUUAAGAACACACAAUUCACCUGAAAAUUCAGAGAAUUUUAAUUGUUGUGUCAUGAAGGUCUCAAUUGGAAAAUGAGUCUUUGUCUCUCUUAAUAUUAUUAGGUAGAUGUUUCAAACAAAUUUUUUACAUGUAAAGUUCUUUUUUUUCAUGU